CACGUAGGGCGCAAGCGUUUGUCCGGAUUUAUUGGGCGUAAAGAGCGUGUAGGCGGCCAUACAGGUCAGCUGUGAAAACUCGAGGCUCAACCUCGAGACGUCGGUUGAAACCGUAUGGCUAGAGUCCGGAAGAGGAGAGUGGAAUUCCCGGUGUAGCGGUGAAAUGCGCAGAUAUCAGGAGGAACACCGAUGGCGAAGGCAGGUCUCUGGGCCACUACUGACGCUGAGAAGCGAAAGCAUGGGGAGCGAACAGG
rnacentral:rRNA from 1 species